rnacentral:rRNA from 1 species
UACGUAGGGUCCGAGCGUUGUCCGGAGUUACUGGGCGUAAAGCGCGCGCAGGCGGCGGUGCUGGCCCGGCGUGAAAGCCCCCGGCUCAACCGGGGGAGGGUCGUCGGGGACCGCACGCUUGAGGGCGGUAGGGGCUGGUGGAAUGCCUGGUGUAGUGGUGAAAUGCGUAGAGAUCAGGCGGAACACCCGUGGCGAAGGCGGCCAGCUGGGCCGUCCCUGACGCUGAGGCGCGAAGGCGUGGGGAGCGAACGGGG